rnacentral:rRNA from 1 species
AGUGAACGCUGGCGGUAGGCCUAACACAUGCCAGUCGAACGGCAGCACAGUAAGAGCUUGCUCUUACGGGUGGCGAGUGGCGGACGGGUGAGGAAUACAUCGGAAUCUACUUUUUCGUGGGGGAUAACGUAGGGAAACUUACGCUAAUACCGCAUACGACCUACGGGUGAAAGCAUGGGAUCUUCGGACCUUGCGCGAUUGAAUGAGCCGAUGUCGGAUUAGCUAGUUGGCGGGGUAAAGGCCCACCAAGGCGACGAUCCGUAGCUGGUCUGAGAGGAUGAUCAGCCACACUGGAACUGAGACACGGUCCAGACUCCUACGGGAGGCAGCAGUGGGGAAUAUUGGACAAUGGGCGCAAGCCUGACCCAGCCAUACCGCGUGGGUGAAGAAGGCCUUCGGGUUGUAAAGCCCUGUUGUUGGGAAAGAAAAGCAGCAGGUUAAUACCCCGCUGUUCUGACGGUACCCAAAGAAUAAGCACCGGCUAACUUCGUG